AGAGAAUGAUGCAGCCAAGGAUGACUUGCCGAAUUACAUUUCCUUCUUUCUGGAAAAGCGUCUUUCGAUCUGGUUCUGAGCUGAUUCCAGACAAGUCAUUCGAACAUACCUCGAAGAUCGAUCGGCAAGUUAGUCUUGGCUACAUGCUUCUUUCU
rnacentral:pre_miRNA from 1 species